UCUGACCGAGGAGGAGGUAAGACUUCUUCUUCUGCGCCAGAAACGCGCGCCUGUAGCUGCUGAUGUCCGGGUCCUCAAGUGAUGGUGACAGCCCUGUCCUGUCCCCCUCCAGUGGCAUGAGGAGAUGAUCAUCCCUGGAUGACCCCACCUGAUCCCCUGGGAGCCCUGGGCCAUUUCCCUCUCAUGAUCAAUAAACCCCUUCAGCAAAGCUA